UUCAAAUAUGUUCUCCCUGCAUAUGCUCUGGUGACGCUAUACUCAGUCUGUGAGGCUGUAGACGUCUCCUCGUCUCCAUUCAGCCUCAUUCUCGUUUAAAUACUAAAUGCUCCUUAGUCUAUGGUUAAAUGUUACACUCCAGCCAUUUAGCUGAAAGCAUUAGGAAGACCGUCUGAGGACAUCUGCAGCGUUAAACUUCAUUUCAAGGACAUAACAUUCGUCGAGGGAACGGGAAGGACUUUUGUCAGUGCUGGAUCAAGGAAGGAGAGGUUUCUGUACUUCCUGAAAGAAGUGGAUAGAGCUGGACAUACCUGAAGCACAUUUUCCUGCUCAUCUUUAAGAACUACUGUACUGGUGAGUAAGCGAAGUUGAAAAUGCUUUUGUGCCUUAGCUAAGAAAAGAUGUACAUCUGAUGCAUUCUUGAAAACAAAAUCCAGGAUGUUUAUCUAUCCACCUUGAAAGCGUAAUCUUACUGCGUAAUUAAUUUGAUGUCAGUGUGCCUUAAUGAGCCCUUUGAUAUU